rnacentral:tRNA from 1 species
AAUAAGCUAAUAGAAGCUAUUGGGCUCAUGCCCCGAAAAUGGACGCUCUCCUUUUAUCA